rnacentral:rRNA from 1 species
GGGCCCGCACAAGCGGUGGAGUAUGUGGUUUAAUUCGAUGCAACGCGAAGAACCUUACCAGGGUUUGACAUCCUGCGAAUCUCUUGGAAACAGGAGAGUGCCUUCGGGAACGCAGUGACAGGUGGUGCAUGGCUGUCGUCAGCUCGUGUCGUGAGAUGUUGGGUUAAGUCCCGCAACGAGCGCAACCCUUGUCAUUAGUUGCUACGCAAGGGCACUCUAAUGAGACUGCCGGUGACAAACCGGAGGAAGGUGGGGACGACGUCAAGUCCUCAUGGCCCUUAUGGGUAGGGCUUCACACGUCAUACAAUGGUUGGUACAGAGGGUUGCGAACCCGCGAGGGGGAGCUAAUCCCAAAAAACCAAUCGUAGUCCGGAUUGCAGUCUGCAACUCGAGGCAUGAAGUUGGAAUCGCUAGUAAUCG